rnacentral:misc_RNA from 1 species
UAUUCAAUGGCUGAUCCUGCUCUACUCCUGCUUGUCUCAUACAGUACGAGCAAUUCGGAAUAAUUGAGCUGUGGUGAUAAAAUGCAAUGGACAGAAAGAAUGACAACAUUACUGUUGUCAGAGGUAAAGGAGCAUAAAAAACAGUUAAAUAUACAACCUCAUAAAGUAUUUUGGAAAGAAAUCUGUUCUACAAUUAAUAGUAUUGGCUAUAAUAUAACACUGGAUCAAUGUUAUUCAAAAUGGAAAAGUUUAAAGAGAAAGUAUACCCAAAUAAAGGACAACAAAAAUCGGACUAGUGCCUCUAAUCAACGAUGGAUUUAUUUUGAAAUGGUCGAUAGUAUUUUGAAGACAA